CCUACGGGGGGCUGCAGUAGGGAAUAUUGCUCAAUGGGGGAAACCCUGAAGCAGCAACGCCGCGUGGAGGAUGAAGGUUUUCGGAUUGUAAACUCCUUUUGUUAGAGAAGAAAAUGACGAUAUCUAACGAAUAAGCACCGGCUAACUCCGUGCCAGCAGCCGCGGUAAUACGGAGGGUGCAAGCGUUAAUCGGAAUCACUGGGCGUAAAGAGCGCGUAGGCGGGAUAGCAAGUCAGAUGUGAAAUCCUAUGGCUUAACCAUAGAACUGCAUUUGAAACUGUUAUUCUAGAGUAUGGGAGAGGUAGGUGGAAUUCUUGGUGUAGGGGUAAAAUGCGUAGAGAUCAAGAGGAAUACUCAUUGCGAAGGCGACCUGCUAGAACAUAACUGACGCUGAUGCGCGAAAGCGUGGGGAGCAAACAGGAUUAGAUACCCUUGUAGUC
rnacentral:rRNA from 1 species